rnacentral:rRNA from 1 species
ACAGAGGUCCCGAGCGUUGUUCGGAUUCAUUGGGCGUAAAGGGUGUGUAGGAGGUCGGAUAAGUCGAGUGUGAAAGCUCACCGCUUAACGGUGAAAUUGCGCUCGAUACUGUCUGGCUAGAGGAUUUGAGGGGGUAACGGAAUUCUUGGUGUAGCAGUGAAAUGCGUAGAUAUCAAGAGGAACACCAGUGGCGAAGGCGGUUACCUGGAAAAUUCCUGACUCUGAAACACGAAAGCUAGGGGAGCAAACGG